rnacentral:rRNA from 1 species
GAUGAACGCUAGCGGCAGGCCUAAUACAUGCAAGUCGAACGGAGUGGAGCAGCAAUGCUUCACUUAGUGGCGCACGGGCGCGUAACGCGUAUGCAACCUACCUUUUAUUGGGGGAUAGCCCGAAGAAAUUCGGAUUAAUACCGCAUAAUAUCAUUUGAGGGCAUCUGAGGAUGAUGAAAGCUUUGGCGAUAAAAGAUGGGCAUGCGUGUCAUUAGCUAGUUGGUCGAGGUAACGGCUCACCAAGGCGACGAUGACUAGGGGUUCUGAGAGGAUGAGCCCCCACACUGGUACUGAGAUACGGACCAGACUCCUACGGGAGGCAGCAGUAGGGAAUAUUGGGCAAUGGCGGAAACGCUGACCCAGCCAUGCCGCGUGCCGGAUGAAGGCCUUCUGGGUUGUAAACGGCUUUUACCAGGGAAGAACCUACCUUUGCGAAGGGAACUGACGGUACCUGGUGAAUAAGCACCGGCUAACUCCGAGCCAGCAGCCGCAGUAAGAC